AACAAGGCGUACCUGCGGACCUGCGGAAGGAUCAUUACUGAGUGAGGGCCUUCGGGCUCGACCUCCAACCCUUUGUGAACACAACUUGUUGCUUCGGGGGCGACCCUGCCGUUUCGACGGCGAGCGCCCCCGGAGGCCUUCAAACACUGCAUCUUUGCGUCGGAGUUUAAGUAAAUUAAACAAAACUUUCAACAACGGAUCU
rnacentral:misc_RNA from 1 species